UUUAUGUUUAUGUUUUACAAGGAAUCUAUAGUGGCUGAAUUUUAAGUAACUCUUAUGUGUUGUGAGUGAACCAUGAAUUCUUUCCUCUUUUUUUUUGUCUGUUUUUGUUUUUUUUCAUUUGAAAUCUCAACUUGCUCAGGACAACUAAUUGUGCUUCGUUAACUGUCGGGUGUUGAGAAAGUGAAAAGGAUGUAUGAGUUUUUGCAAGUUUGUAUCAUAACAUUGUUGCAUUGAGUGUUUGAGAUGGAGUAAUAUAUGUGGAUUUGUCGGUUGUGAUACUUUAACAUUAUAUUGACUAUGAACUUUUAAGAUCUUAUCUUAACUCUUGAGUGUACGGAGAUGAUUCCCGUGAUUAGCUCCUUAACUAUGAAACAUGAAUGGUUUCUUGUCGGCAUAUAGCUUAAGAAACUUGCAUGUUGCCAUCCAUUGAUCUGUUACCUUAAUGAAAGCUUUUCUUUAAAAAUUUGAUGAGUCUUGCUACAAGUUACUCGUUGGCUUUAUGGUCCCAGUGAAUGUGUUUUUGAUUUAUGGGAAAACCAUAGCCCUUACCCGAAGGGGAACUAUGGGUGAGGCUCGCCUUGUGACCCUAGCCGGUAAAGGACCACAAGGAGGUAAAUCAACCUAGAUUGCCUAAAUUGUUGAUAGCUGAUUGGCUCAAACCAAGAAGACCAAUAUGGUGAUUCCCAUGAUG